rnacentral:rRNA from 1 species
GACGAACGCUGGCGGCGUGCCUAAUACAUGCAAGUCGAACGCAGUGGGGACGGGUGAGUAACACGUGGGUAACCUCCCAUCAGAGGGGAUAACACUUGGAAACAGGUGCUAAACCGAUACUGAUGGAUGAACCCGCGGUGCAUUAGCUAGUUGGUGAGGUAAAGGCUCACCAAGGCGACGAUACAUAGCCGAACCGGGAGGGGGGUCGGCCAAAAUUGGACUGGGGAACGGGCCAGACUCCUACGGGAGGCAGGAGUAGGGAAUCUUCGGCAAAGGACGGAAGGCUGACCGGGCAACGCCGGGGGAGGGAAGAAGGUUUUCGGAUCGGAAAGCUCUGGUGUUAGAGAAGCGGUAACUAACCAGAAAGGGACGGCUAACUACGUGCCAGCCGCCGCGGUAAUAC